AAAGUACUCCCUCCGUCCCAAUAUUCUUGUCUUAGAUUUGUCUAGAUACGGAUGUAUCAAGUCACAUUUUAGUAUUAGAUACAUCCGUAUCUAGACAAAUCUAAGACAAAAGAUUUGGGACAGAGGGAGUAGUUG
rnacentral:pre_miRNA from 1 species